CCUACGGGAGGCUGCAGUAGGGAAUUUUGCGCAAUGGGGGAAACCCUGACGCAGCAACGUCGCGUGAUCGAUGAAGCCCUUCGGGGUGUAAAGAUCUGUCAGUGGGGACGAAACCUGACGGUACCCACAGAGGAAGCACCGGCUAACUCCGUGCCAGCAGCCGCGGUAAUACGGGGGGUGCAAGCGUUGUCCGGAAUCAUUGGGCGUAAAGAGUUCGUAGGUGGGACGUUUGGUCUGGUGUUAAAGGGGGAAGGUCAACUUCCGUAGUGCAGUGGAUACUGGCGAGCUUGAAUGCGGUAGAGGUAGAGGGAAUGCGUGGUGUAGCGGUGAAAUGCGUAGAUAUCAGGAAGAACGUCGAUGGCGUAGGCGCUUUACUGGCCCGUAAUUGACACUGAGGAACGAAAGCCGGGGUAGCAAAUGGGAUUAGAUACCCUAGUAGUC
rnacentral:rRNA from 1 species